ensembl:lncRNA LINC01748 long intergenic non-protein coding RNA 1748
AGUAGAGAAGGUAGGCAGUGCUUGCAAAGGCCUGAGUCUGAGGUACUUCUUUAUAGCACUGCAAGAAUGGACUAAUACGCUAUGUGAAGACAAAGGGGAUGUCUGCAAGCCAGGACGAGUGCGUCUACCAGAAACUGAGUUCUGCUGGACUUUGAUCUAGGACAUCCAGCCUCCAGAAUGGAAUGUGCCAUAUGUGGAGACCUGCAUGGAAAGGAACUGAGGAUGCUCUCUCACUAAAAGCUAGAAGGAACUGAGGCCCUCAGUCAACAGUCUACAAGACACUGAAUCUUGCCAGCAGCCAAGCAAUGGAGAGAGGGGAACCCGAGUCAAGGAAUGCAAAUGGCCUCUGGAAGCUGGAAAAAGCAAGAAAUGGAUUCUCCUUUAGAGCCUGUGGAAUAAAAUGCAGUCAUGCUGACACCUUGAUUUUACCUCAGUGAGACCAAUACUGGAGUAUGACCUUCGGAGCUGAAUAAAAUUAUACGUACACAUCUUAAUUUCUUGGGAUUUGAUUACUUCUUCUGCUUUGAAAUUAGACCAAGUUUAGCCUGCCUUUGCUAUUUUGGCGUAUCUCCAAUUCUUCAUGAUUUUCUCAUAGAUGGGGUUGCACUAUGCUGCCUGAGCUGGUCUGGAACUCCUGGGCUGUAAUGAUCCUCUGGCCUCCUCAGCCUCCCAAAAUGUUGGGAUUACAGCGCAAAGGCCACAUAAGGACAGUGAGAAGGCAGCCACCUGCAAGCCAGGAAGAAAGGUCUCACCAGAUACCAACCCUGCCAGCAUGUUGAUCUUGGACUUCCAGCCUCCAAAACUGGCCUUCUGCUCACAUGGGCUUCCGUGCACCUGCUUCAGGAGACAGCAACACUUGCGCCCGCACCGCGGCAGGCUCCCAUCACCUGGUGGAUAUGCCGCGCCGAGUCUCAUCACACCUUAGUGAAGGAACACAUGGACCCAUAUGUUAGCGGAUGUAUUUACAUCGUUUUAUACAGAAAGGGGAAGUAUGUUUCACAAUAAAUGUUUGCAUACUUUGGAGCACAUCUUUUUUUUCUUUCAGACAGAAAGAAAGAGACAAAAAGAGCGGGAGAAACUUUGGCUGGAGCCAUUGAUUCUUUAUUCCCUUACAAUGUUUUUAUCACCCAACCUUGAAAAUAGUCUGUGUGUCAGCUGGGCAGGAUCUGUGCUGAGGCUUGCGUCCCUGGGGGCAAAAAAAGGGUAGUGACUUUUAGUUGAAAGAGUCAGGAAGGGAAGAGUCAAUAGUUCAGCGGUAAGUAUUCUGAACCCAGGCAGGGAAACCAAAAUUCAGGGAUACCUGAAGCCCUCAAGCUAAGGGCCAGGAGCUAGGAGCUGAAAGGAUACAGGAGCUAUGUCAUAAAUAAUUUAGGAGGUGGCUAGAUGAUUGCCAGAGUGUCCACAGCAUGCUUUACUUGGCUUUUAUGGAUACAAUGUGCAUAGGUUGCUUUUAGGAACAAUAAAGAAAUGUUUAUUAAACUAAUUAUGAUUCAAUAAUAUUGACAAUAAUGACAAUGUUGAUAGUAUGCAAUAUAAUAAACUGGUGUGCUUUUAUUUCUCCCUUUUCCUGUGCACAUCUGUUUUACUCUGUGACAUUUUUCCAUUUAGACUCAGAAAUAAGAAACCAGUAUUGCUGCAAAGGUAGGCUGUCACUGGAGGAAAUGAAGAUUAAAAAUUAAAAAAUCAAAUUAUAAUUUUUAUAUUUUAAAAAAACAGCUUAGGUGUAACAGAGAAAUACUUGGAAGACGUUAGAGUAUGAGACAAGGAAAAAUUUGCUCCAAACCUCCUCCCGCAUAAUCACCUCUAAUAAACAAAUAUCCUAGACAAAUAUAAUUUUCCAAGCUAGGGGAAAAAAAGAACAGUUGGAGAAUAUAAUGUACAAAAGUUAAUCACCAAAUAAGGCCUGCCCUAUUCCUCUUUCUCCUCCAGCCAUUAUAAGGAACAGGAACCAUAGAAUUCUCUGGUAAAUAUGGAAUCUAGGAGUAGAAGAAACCCAUGCUUAUAUCUUGCCCAUAACUCAGAAAGAAAGCAGAUUCACAGAUGGUGCCCACACCCCAAAGUCAUGGGGAUUGUAGAGUGCAGAAUUAUUCCCCAAGUUCUGUCCUGGUUCUUUAAAUAUAUUUUCAGGAAUCAAUCCUGUACU